rnacentral:tRNA from 1 species
AUUUUCCUAGUACAAAUAUUAGUAUAAGUGACUUCCAAUCGCCCGGCCUUGGUUAAACUCCAAGGGAAAAUA